GGGCCGUUAGCUCAGUUGGCAGAGCACCGGGCUUUUAACCCGAGGGUCGGGGGUUCGAGUCCCCCACGGCCUACCA
rnacentral:tRNA from 2 species